rnacentral:scRNA from 1 species
GGGAUCACCUGAUGGACGCAACCCGCUACCUA